rnacentral:lncRNA from 1 species
GCCUUUAAUCCCAGCACUCGGGAGGCAGAGGCAGGCAGAUUUCUGAGUUCGAGGCCAGCCUGGUCUACAAAGUGAAUUCCAGGACAGCCAGGGCUAUACAGAGAAACCCUGUUUUGAAAAACCAAAAAAAAAAAAAAAAAAAAAAAAAAAUUGUGAUCAACUCUUUGCUAUAUCUAGUUCACAUUGGAAAAAGUUUAUACUUUAUAUCCUUGUUAAUGAAAUCUUAGCUAUCUUAUAUAUAGUCCUUUAUAAAGAAUUUUUCUGGCAUAUUUUAUUUCUAUUUUAUAUGGUAAUUACUUUUACUUUAUACUUGGUUACUUUCCAAAUAAGAAAUGAUAUACUUGAUUCCCAAGUUAUCUGCUAUUGGAACUGUUAAAUAAAACUAAGUUGGUGUUUUGUUUGUUUAUUUGUUUUGUUUUUGAGACAGGGUGUCAUGUAGCCCUGACUGACCUGGAACUCAGUGUCAAGUAGGCUGGCUUCUGAGAGAUUUUCCCCACGUUCUGGGGUUGAAAACAUAUGUUACUACAGUCCUGGCCCCGGGUAGAACUCAGUCUUAAGUAUGACCUCUUAUCUGUUUGCUUAAAGUGAGCACAUUUUGCCACAGAAUUUUAACAAUAACCAUGGUCUUCUAGAAGCAUUGGGUUUAAUAGAACAUUGUAUUUUUUCCACGAAGAUAGAAGAAUUCUGUAAUCACGUGCGGAAAGAAGUAUGUUAAUAAAUUGGCUAAUGCUGUCGCAAUGUUCAUGUUCUCAGGAAAGUGUUCUGCUGCUGCUCUCGAUGUUCUCGCAAAUGUUUAUCGUGAUGAGCUUUUGCCGCACAUUCUGCCACUUUUGAAAGAAUUGCUUUUCCAUCAUGAAUGGGUUGUGAAAGAAUCUGGCAUCUUGGUUUUAGGAGCAAUUGCUGAAGGUACGUCCAGCUUGAAUUACAAGGUUUUUGAUAGAUAUUAGUAAGGCCUAGGCUGCUGUGAGGAAUUGUGACCCGAGUAGGCUGAGACUUGCCCUAAAUUCACGCUUCCUGGCUCUGCUUGCAGUGCCAGAUGUGGUACACAGAUCACACAGUUGAAAGAGGUGACUGACUCAGAAGCCACCUUAAGGUCAGCUUCUCCUGGGUAUAAGUCACAGGCCUCUUCUGGUCCCAGCCAGCGGGUUCAACCAUAUUUUCUGUGGGUGCUUUUGUUAUAGUAAAUGAAACUAAAAGAAAUCGAAUGUUUGAAAGCUAUUUCUCUUAAAUCACUUUAUUCCUCAGGUAAAUCUAGAGACUUGAUAACACGAGAAUGUCAUCAUCAUUUUGAUGUCCUGUCUUCACUAUAAACAUUGUCUCAAAAUAUUUAUAGGUGCUUUGAAAACCAGAAAUAUCAUGGAAAAAAAUGGAAUGAAAUCUUAACCUCCUUUAAGACACCUAGGAACAAUUAACUCUGAUUUGUUGUUUUUUAAUAGCUUGGUAUCAACUUUUCUAUUUGUAGCCCUGGAAAUAUACUAAAUGUUUCUUAGUGGAUGCUGUGUCCUUUCUAUAUACAGUUGAGUAUAGCACGUUUUGAAAGAUUGCUGUUCUUUCCUAGGUUGUAUGCAAGGCAUGAUUCCGUACCUGCCCGAGCUCAUUCCUCACCUUAUUCAGUGCCUUUCUGAUAAAAAGGCUCUUGUGCGUUCCAUCACCUGCUGGACUCUUAGCCGCUAUGCACACUGGGUAGUCAGCCAGCCACCAGAUACGUACCUGAAGCCAUUAAUGACAGAACUGCUGAAGCGUAUCCUCGAUAGCAACAAGAGAGUACAGGAAGCAGCUUGCAGGUAGGACAGAGCCAUAGCACUGUUUGUUAUGAACAUGAGAGCCUGGUUUCAAACCAGCAGACUUUUAUACCACAAACUGCUGCAGUUAUGAUGAGAAAUUGUUUUACUAACGGUUUUACUAAACAAAAUGUGUCGUAAUCCUUUGCUUUCUUGGUGGAUUUUCAAACGAAUAACAACAUUUUAGAUACUUAUCCACUACCUUAACUUUGAGAUUGAAUGGCCUGCAGACUUUUGACACGUCCUCAAUGGUGCUGUGCACAAUCUUUCAAAACGUGCCAGUACCAGUGGUUGGGCUCUGCUCACAUCAGAAUUGCUUGUUUUCAUUCCUACUGGUUUCUGUUUCUGGGAGCAGGGGAAGAAGAUGGGAACUGCAAUUAAAUUCCUAAUUCUUUGAACUGCUUUUACCAUUGACCUUUUGUCCAUCUAGGGAUCAGACCCAAUACUUACACAUGCUAGGCAAGUGCUUGGCCAUUUAGUGCCAUCCUAGCUCACCAUUGACUAAGUACUCCUGUGUGUGUGUGUGUGUGUGUGUGUGUGUAAAUGAAGGGAGGCAAACUGAGGCUAGCAUGUGGCUCCAUUUGUAGAGUGACUGCAUAAAGUCCUGGGCUUUGUCCUCAGAGCCAUGUGAUUGGACAUGGUGAUGCAUGCCUGUCAUGUCAAGACUGAAGGUGAGGAUCAGCCUGGGUCAUUCUGGGCUACAUAGCAAAUUUGAGGCUAGUCUAGACUACCAGCUGUAAUGGUGCCAGCUUUAGUCUCAAACUUAGGUACAGAGGCAGGUGUCAUUCUGUGCUCAAAGCCACAAGGGCUACAAAGUGGUUCAAGGCCAGCCAGAACUACAUAAUGAGACCCUGUCUUUAAAAUUUUAAAAAGGGAGAGGGCAAGCUGGGGAGAUGGCUUACAGACACUUACCUGCUCUUGCAGAGGGCCUGGGUUUAGUUCCCAGCAGUACAUGUCAGCCUACCCUCUAAUUCCAUUUCAGGGAUUUAGAUGCUAUGGUUGUCAAGAGCUCCUGUAUGCACUCGGUGCCACAUAACACAGCCUCAGGCAUCUACACAUAAAGCAAAUAAUUUUCAAUG